CCUAAACAAAGUUUGAACCCAGAUGGAAGUGAAGAGCCACCUGAAGCAGGAUCUCCGUCCCUUCGCCCUUUCCCUUCUCCCUCCACAGAUAAACGGCUAGGCUGACAGGCCUGUCCCUGACCACCUGGAAGUCAUAAGUCAGGGAGUGCCCUUCAGCUCCGAACAGUCUUUACAUGUCAAUCCCACAGAGGCAUGAGAAGACUUCCAAGAGAAACAGAGGCCCGAGCCUUCAGACAAGUGCACGUACUUGGCACCCAAGAGGACUUGAGCCUCCACGGCGGGGGGCCUUCAUGCAGUGGGGUUAUUACUGAUGGAGAGAGCGCGCCUGUCUGUUCCUUGGGACCUCGGCUCUGGCUAAGUCCCCUUUUACACAGCAAAGGGAGAUGAUCUCGUUGCUCACGACCGGUGAGCUCUUGGUCAAGCAGGCUGCUCCUUGCCCGAGAUUAUGAAAACCCUGCACAGAGAGAGAGAUUCCGACACAGAGGGAGGGGUUUCACAGGCAGGUGGCCACUCAUUGUUCUACCACUCGCCUCCACCUUCCUUCUUUCGUCACGGUGGCAGGAGGGGAACAGAAAUUCUCCACGUACCAGGACCUCUUCCAAGUGGACCCCGCCCCCCGAAAAGCUGCCUGGAAGGAGCUGUGCAGACCAUACCCAGCGCCCGGGAUGAUGCUGAGAACAUGAAAGAUACAUCAUGGACAGUAAGCUCCGUGAGAUCAGGCACUCUUCUGUUUUAUUUAUCAUGACUCCCCGGCACCUGACCUAAUGCCUGGCACCUGGAAAAUGAAUAAGAUGUAUUUUUUUUUUUUUAAAUACCAAACUCGAUAUUUCUGAGGACUGAUUAAGCAC